GUUAUAUGGUCAAGUGAAGAAGCGCAUACGGUGGAUGCCUUGGCAGUCAGAGGCGAUGAAAGACGUGGUAGCCUGCGAAAAGCUUCGGGGAGUCGGCAAACAGACUUUGAUCCGGAGAUGUCUGAAUGGGGGAACCCAGCCAUCAUAAGAUGGUUAUCUUGUACUGAAUACAUAGGUGCAAGAGGCGAACCAGGGGAACUGAAACAUCUAAGUACCCUGAGGAAAAGAAAUCAACCGAGAUUCCCUUAGUAGUGGCGAGCGAACGGGGACUAGCCCUUAAGUGGCUUUGAGAUUAGCGGAACGCUCUGGAAAGUGCGGCCAUAGUGGGUGAUAGCCCUGUACGCGAAAAUCUCUUGGUCAUGAAAUCGAGUAGGACGGAGCACGAGAAACUUUGUCUGAAUAUGGGGGGACCAUCCUCCAAGGCUAAAUACUACUGACUGACCGAUAGUGAACUAGUACCGUGAGGGAAAGGCGAAAAGAACCCCGGAGAGGGGAGUGAAAUAGAUCCUGAAACCGUAUGCGUACAAGCAGUGGGAGCCCACUUUGUUGGGUGACUGCGUACCUUUUGUAUAAUGGGUCAGCGACUUAUUUUCAGUGGCGAGCUUAACCGAAUAGGGGAGGCGUAGCGAAAGCGAGUCUUAAUAGGGCGUCUAGUCGCUGGGAAUAGACCCGAAACCGGGCGAUCUAUCCAUGGGCAGGUUGAAGGUUAGGUAACACUGACUGGAGGACCGAACCGACUACCGUUGAAAAGUUAGCGGAUGACCUGUGGAUCGGAGUGAAAGGCUAAUCAAGCUCGGAGAUAGCUGGUUCUCCUCGAAAGCUAUUUAGGUAGCGCCUCAUGUAUCACUGUAGGGGGUAGAGCACUGUUUCGGCUAGGGGGUCAUCCCGACUUACCAAACCGAUGCAAACUCCGAAUACCUACAAGUGCCGAGCAUGGGAGACACACGGCGGGUGCUAACGUCCGUCGUGAAAAGGGAAACAACCCAGACCGUCAGCUAAGGUCCCAAAGUUAUGGUUAAGUGGGAAACGAUGUGGGAAGGCUUAGACAGCUAGGAGGUUGGCUUAGAAGCAGCCACCCUUUAAAGAAAGCGUAAUAGCUCACUAGUCGAGUCGGCCUGCGCGGAAGAUGUAACGGGGCUCAAACCAUACACCGAAGCUACGGGUAUCACGUAAGUGAUGCGGUAGAGGAGCGUUCUGUAAGCCUGUGAAGGUGAGUUGAGAAGCUUGCUGGAGGUAUCAGAAGUGCGAAUGCUGACAUGAGUAACGACAAUGGGUGUGAAAAACACCCACGCCGAAAGACCAAGGUUUCCUGCGCAACGUUAAUCGACGCAGGGUUAGUCGGUCCCUAAGGCGAGGCUGAAAAGCGUAGUCGAUGGAAAACAGGUUAAUAUUCCUGUACUUCUGGUUAUUGCGAUGGAGGGACGGAGAAGGCUAGGCCAGCUUGGCGUUGGUUGUCCAAGUUUAAGGUGGUAGGCUGAGAUCUUAGGUAAAUCCGGGAUCUUAAGGCCGAGAGCUGAUGACGAGUUACCCUUUGGGUGACGAAGUGGUUGAUGCCAUGCUUCCAAGAAAAGCUUCUAAGCUUCAGGUAACCAGGAACCGUACCCCAAACCGACACAGGUGGUUGGGUAGAGAAUACCAAGGCGCUUGAGAGAACUCGGGUGAAGGAACUAGGCAAAAUGGCACCGUAACUUCGGGAGAAGGUGCGCCGGUGAGGGUGAAGGACUUGCUCCGUAAGCUCAUGCCGGUCGAAGAUACCAGGCCGCUGCGACUGUUUAUUAAAAACACAGCACUCUGCAAACACGAAAGUGGACGUAUAGGGUGUGACGCCUGCCCGGUGCCGGAAGGUUAAUUGAUGGGGUUAGCUAACGCGAAGCUCUUGAUCGAAGCCCCGGUAAACGGCGGCCGUAACUAUAACGGUCCUAAGGUAGCGAAAUUCCUUGUCGGGUAAGUUCCGACCUGCACGAAUGGCGUAACGAUGGCGGCGCUGUCUCCACCCGAGACUCAGUGAAAUUGAAAUCGCUGUGAAGAUGCAGUGUAUCCGCGGCUAGACGGAAAGACCCCGUGAACCUUUACUAUAGCUUUGCACUGGACUUUGAAUUUGCUUGUGUAGGAUAGGUGGGAGGCUUUGAAGCGUGGACGCCAGUUCGCGUGGAGCCAUCCUUGAAAUACCACCCUGGCAACUUUGAGGUUCUAACUCAGGUCCGUUAUCCGGAUCGAGGACAGUGUAUGGUGGGUAGUUUGACUGGGGCGGUCUCCUCCUAAAGAGUAACGGAGGAGUACGAAGGUGCGCUCAGACCGGUCGGAAAUCGGUCGUAGAGUAUAAAGGCAAAAGCGCGCUUGACUGCGAGACAGACACGUCGAGCAGGUACGAAAGUAGGUCUUAGUGAUCCGGUGGUUCUGUAUGGAAGGGCCAUCGCUCAACGGAUAAAAGGUACUCCGGGGAUAACAGGCUGAUACCGCCCAAGAGUUCAUAUCGACGGCGGUGUUUGGCACCUCGAUGUCGGCUCAUCACAUCCUGGGGCUGAAGCCGGUCCCAAGGGUAUGGCUGUUCGCCAUUUAAAGUGGUACGCGAGCUGGGUUUAGAACGUCGUGAGACAGUUCGGUCCCUAUCUGCCGUGGACGUUUGAGAUUUGAGAGGGGCUGCUCCUAGUACGAGAGGACCGGAGUGGACGAACCUCUGGUGUUCCGGUUGUCACGCCAGUGGCAUUGCCGGGUAGCUAUGUUCGGGAAAGAUAACCGCUGAAAGCAUCUAAGCGGGAAACUUGCCUCAAGAUGAGAUCUCACUGGAACCUUGAGUUCCCUGAAGGGCCGUCGAAGACUACGACGUUGAUAGGUUGGGUGUGUAAGCGCUGUGAGGCGUUGAGCUAACCAAUACUAAUUGCCCGUGAGGCUUGACCAUAUAACACCCAAGCAAUU
rnacentral:rRNA from 1 species